ACCCUUUGUGUACCUACCUCUGUUGCUUUGGCGGGCCGCGGUCCUCCGCGGCCGCCCCCCUCCCCGGGGGGGUGGCCAGCGCCCGCCAGAGGACCAUCAAACUCCAGUCAGUAAACGAUGCAGUCUGAAAAACAUUUAAUAAACUAAAACCUUUCAACAACGGAUCUCUUGGUUCUGGCAUCGAUGAAGAACGCAGCGAAAUGCGAUAAGUAAUGUGAAUUGCAGAAUUCAGUGAAUCAUCGAAUCUUUGAACGCACAUUGCGCCCUUUGGUAUUCCGAAGGGCAUGCCUGUUCGAGCGUCAUUACAACCCUCAAGCUCUGCUUGGUAUUGGGCACCGUCCUUUGCGGGCGCGCCUCAAAGACCUCGGCGGUGGCGUCUUGCCUCAAGCGUAGUAGAACAUACAUCUCGCUUCGGAGCGCAGGGCGUCGCCCGCCGGACGAACCUUCUGAACUUUUCUCAAGGUUGACCUCGGAUCAGGUAGGGAUACCCGCUGAACUUAAGC
rnacentral:rRNA from 1 species